AUUGAACGCUGGCGGCAUGCCUUACACAUGCAAGUCGAACGGCAGCGGGCCCUUCGGGGUGCCGGCGAGUGGCGAACGGGUGAGUAAUGCAUCGGAACGUACCCGGGAGAGGGGGAUAACCGGCCGAAAGGCUGGCUAAUACCGCAUGAACUCGGAAGAGUAAAGCGGGGGACCUUCGGGCCUCGCGCUCUCGGAGCGGCCGAUGUCCGAUUAGGCUAGUUGGUGGGGUAAAGGCCCACCAAGGCGACGAUCGGUAGCGGGUCUGAGAGGACGAUCCGCCACACUGGGACUGAGACACGGCCCAGACUCCUACGGGAGGCAGCAGUGGGGAAUCUUGGACAAUGGGCGCAAGCCUGAUCCAGCAAUGCCGCGUGAGUGAAGAAGGCCUUCGGGUUGUAAAGCCCUUUCGGCGGGGAAGAAAUCGGUCAGGCGAAUAGUCUGGCCGGAUGACGGUACCCGCAGAAGAAGCACCGGCUAACUACGUG
rnacentral:rRNA from 1 species